UUUUGAUUUAGACAAGAAAAUUUCUCCAGCACAAAACUAAAACUUAUGAUUGGUAUUGAGAAAUAUAUAAACAAUCUGAUUUAGACAUCUCAUCAAACAACUGAAAUAUACAAGAUUCUUAACGGAUUUAACGAAAAAGUUAAAUCAAAAGAAUCUUUGA